GACGAACCGUGCAAACGUUGUUCGGAAUCACUGGGCUUAAAGGGCGCGUAGGCGGGCAAUCAAGUCAGGGGUGAAAUCUUUCGGCUCAACCGGAAAACUGCCUUUGAUACUGAUCGUCUCGAGGGAGGUAGGGGCAUGUGGAACUUCCGGUGGAGCGGUGAAAUGCGUUGAUAUCGGAAGGAACGCCGGUGGCGAAAGCGACGUGCUGGAUCUCUUCUGACGCUGAGGCGCGAAAGCUAGGGUAGCGAACGG
rnacentral:rRNA from 1 species